GUUUAGAAAGAGAUGGA
rnacentral:sRNA from 1 species